rnacentral:rRNA from 1 species
UAAGUACCCCGAGGAAAAGAAAUCAACCGAGAUUCCCCCAGUAGCGGCGAGCGAACGGGGAGGAGCCCAGAGCCUGAAUCAGCAUGUGUGUUAGUGGAAGCGUCUGGAAAGGCGCGCGAUACAGGGUGACAGCCCCGUACACAAAAGCGCAUGUGCUGUGAGCUCGAUGAGUAGGGCGGGACACGUGGUAUCCUGUCUGAAUAUGGGGGGACCAUCCUCCAAGGCUAAAUACUCCUGACUGACCGAUAGUGAACCAGUACCGUGAGGGAAAGGCGAAAAGAACCCCGGCGAGGGGAGUGAAAAAGAACCUGAAACCGUGU